GCCUAACACAUGCAAGUCGAGCGGAAACGACAACAUUGANUCUUCGGAGGAUUUGUUGGGCGUCGAGCGGCGGACGGGUGAGUAAUGCCUAGGAAAUUGCCUUGAUGUGGGGGAUAACCAUUGGAAACGAUGGCUAAUACCGCAUAAUGCCUACGGGCCAAAGAGGGGGAUCUUCGGACCUCUCGCGUCAAGAUAUGCCUAGGUGGGAUUAGCUAGUUGGUGAGGUAAUGGCUCACCAAGGCGACGAUCCCUAGCUGGUCUGAGAGGAUGAUCAGCCACACUGGAACUGAGACACGGUCCAGACUCCUACGGGAGGCAGCAGUGGGGAAUAUUGCACAAUGGGCGAAAGCCUGAUGCACCCAUGCCNCGUGUAUGAANAAGGCCUUCGGGUUGUAAAGUACUUUCAGUUGUGAGGAAGGGGG
rnacentral:rRNA from 1 species